AUCCCAUAAUGGGUACAUUUACUCAAAAACUCUUUGAAUCUUUCCCAAGCGUCAAAUAAAGACUCAUCAUCUCCUUGUCUAAAUGAAGUAAUUUCAUUCCUCACCUU